rnacentral:rRNA from 1 species
UACGUAGGGGGCAAGCGUUGUCCGGAAUCAUUGGGCGUAAAGAGCGUGUAGGCGGCUCGAUAAGUCUGCUGUGAAAGUCGAGGGCUCAACCCUCGAAUGCCGGUGGAUACUGUCGGGCUUGAGUACGGGAGAGGCGAGUGGAAUUCCUGGUGUAGCGGUGAAAUGCGCAGAUAUCAGGAGGAACACCGAUUGCGAAGGCAGCUCGCUGGAACGUUACUGACGCUGAGACGCGAAAGCGUGGGGAGCAAACAGG